rnacentral:rRNA from 1 species
UACGGGGGGGGCAAGCGUUGUUCGGAAUUACUGGGCGUAAAGGGUUCGUAGGUGGCCUGCUAAGUCAGACGUGAAAUCCCUCAGCUUAACUGGGGAACUGCGUCUGAUACUGGAAGGCUUGAGUGCAGGAGAGGAACGCGGAAUUCCAGGUGUAGCGGUGAAAUGCGUAGAUAUCUGGAGGAAUACCAAUGGCGAAGGCAGCCCCCUGGGAUAAUAUUGACGCUCAUGCACGAAAGCGUGGGGAGCAAACAGG